UACGUAGGGUGCGAGCGUUAAUCGGAAUUACUGGGCGUAAAGCGUGCGCAGGCGGUUUUGUAAGCCGGAUGUGAAAUCCCCGGGCUUAACCUGGGAAUGGCAUUCGGGACUGCAAGGCUGGAGUGCGGCAGAGGAGACUGGAAUUCCUGGUGUAGCAGUGAAAUGCGUAGAUAUCAGGAGGAACACCGGUGGCGAAGGCGGGUCUCUGGGCCGAUAUUGACGCUGAGGAGCGAAAGCGUGGGGAGCGAACAGG
rnacentral:rRNA from 1 species